UGCCUAAUGCGAGACUUGAACCCGGGUCUUAGCGGUCGAAAACCAACAGUUUAGACCACUCGACCAACGAC
rnacentral:tRNA from 1 species